rnacentral:rRNA from 1 species
GUCCACGCCGUAAACGAUGAUCACUGGAUGUCAGUAUUGCUUUGCAAUAUUGGUAUCGAAGCUAACGCGUUAAGUGAUCCACCUGGGAACUACGAUCGCAAGAUUAAAACUCAAAGGAAUUGACGGGGGUCCGCACAAGCGGUGGAACAUGUGGUUUAAUUCGACACUACGCGAGGAACCUUACCUGGGCUUGACAUGCUCUUGACCGCCAUGGAAACAUGGUUUUUAAACUCGGUUUAAACAGGAGUGCAGGUGCUGCAUGGCUGUCGU